UACGAAGGGUGCAAACGUUGCUCGGAAUUAUUGGGCGUAAAGCGCACGUAGGCGGCAUUGCAAGUCGGAUGUGAAAUCCCUCGGCUUAACCAAGGAAGUGCAUCCGAAACUGCAGUGCUUGAGUACUUAAGAGGAUCGCGGAAUUCCCGGUGUAGAGGUGAAAUUCGUAGAUAUCGGGAGGAACGCCAGUGGCGAAGGCGGCUCACUGGACCGGUACUGACGCUGAGACGCGAAAGCGUGGGGAGCGAACAGG
rnacentral:rRNA from 1 species